GACGAACGCUGGCGGCGUGCUUAACACAUGCAAGUCGAGCGGUAAGGCCUUUCGGGGUACACGAGCGGCGAACGGGUGAGUAACACGUGGGUGAUCUGCCCUGCACUUCGGGAUAAGCCUGGGAAACUGGGUCUAAUACCGGAUAUGACCUCCUAUCGCAUGGUGGGUGGUGGAAAGAUUUAUCGGUGCAGGAUGGGCCCGCGGCCUAUCAGCUUGUUGGUGGGGUAAUGGCCUACCAAGGCGACGACGGGUAGCCGACCUGAGAGGGUGACCGGCCACACUGGGACUGAGACACGGCCCAGACUCCUACGGGAGGCAGCAGUGGGGAAUAUUGCACAAUGGGCGAAGGCCUGAUGCAGCGACGCCGCGUGGGGGAUGACGGCCUUCGGGUUGUAAACCUCUUUCAGCAGGGACGAAGCGCAGGUGACGGUACCUGCAGAAGAAGCACCGGCUAACUACG
rnacentral:rRNA from 1 species